rnacentral:rRNA from 1 species
CCUACGGGAGGCAGCAGUGGGGAAUAUUGGGCAAUGGGCGCAAGCCUGACCCAGCAACGCCGCGUGAAGGAAGAAGGCUUUCGGGUUGUAAACUUCUUUUAUCAGGGACGAAACAAAUGACGGUACCUGAUGACUAAGCCACGGCUAACUACGUGCCAGCAGCCGCGGUAAUACGUAGGUGGCAAGCGUUAUCCGGAUUUACUGGGUGUAAAGGGCGUGUAGGCGGGCUUGCAAGUCAGAUGUGAAAUUCCAGGGCUCAACCCUGGAACUGCAUUUGAAACUGUAGGUCUUGAGUGCUGGAGACGCAAUCGGAAUUCCGUGUGUAGCGGUGAAAUGCGUAGAUAUUAGGAGGAACACCAGUGGCGAAGGCGGCUUACUGGACUGUAACUGACGUUGAGGCUCGAAAGCGUGGGGAGCAAACAGGAUUAGAUACCCUUGUAGUC